rnacentral:rRNA from 1 species
GCAACGCGAAGAACCUUACCUGGUCUCGACAUCCCGGAGACCCUUAGGAAACUAGGGGUGCUCCAUCUGGAAGAAUCUGGAGACAGUGCUGCAUGGCUGUCGUCAGCUCGUGUCGUGAGGUGUUGGGUUAAGUCCCGCAACGAGCGCAACCCUUGCCUUUAGUUGCCAGCAGUUCGGCUGGGCACUCUAAAGGGACUGCCGGUGUUAAACCGGAGGAAGUGGGGAUGACGUCAAGUCCUCAUGGCCUUUAUGACCAGGGCUACACACGUACUACAAUGGCCGAUACAAAGGGCAGCGACACUGCGAGGUGAAGCCAAUCCCGUAAAAUCGGUCUCAGUCCGGAUUGGAGUCUGCAACUCGACUCCAUGAAGUUGGAAUCGCUAGUAAUCGUGGAUCAGCAUGCCACGGUGAAUACGUUCCCGGGCCUU